CGGGGUGCAGCAGGCGCGAAAACUCUACAAUGCAGGCAACUGCGAUAGGGGAACAUCGAGUGAUCCUCAUAUUGGGGGUCUGUCCCACCGUCUAAAAAACGGUGGUUAGCAAGGGCCGGGCAAGACCGGUGCCAGCCGCCGCGGUAAUACCGGCGGCUCGAGUGGUGGCCGAUAUUAUUGAGUCUAAAGGGUCCGUAGCCGGCUUUGCAAGUCUCUCGGGAAAUCCAGCGGCUUAACCGUUGGUCGUCCGGGGGGUACUACAUUGCUUGGGACUGGGAGAGGUAGGAGGUACUCAGGGGGUAGGAGUGAAAUCCUGUAAUCCUCUGGGGACCACCGGUGGCGAAGGCGUCCUACCAGAACAGGUCCGACGGUGAGGGACGAAAGCUAGGGGCACGAACCGGAUUAGAUACCCGGGUAGUCCUAGCCGUAAACGAUGCUCGCUAGGUGUCACAACAGUCGUGAACUGUUGUGGUGCCGUAGGGAAGCCGUGAAGCGAGCCACUUGGGAAGUACGACCGCAAGGUUGAAACUUAAAGGAAUUGGCGGGGGAGCACAAGGGCGAUUCGC
rnacentral:rRNA from 1 species